rnacentral:rRNA from 1 species
GACGAACGCUGGCGGCGUGCUUAACACAUGCAAGUCGAACGCUGAAGCUCAGCUUGCUGGGUGGAUGAGUGGCGAACGGGUGAGUAACACGUGAGUAACCUGCCCUCUUCUUUGGGAUAACGCCCGGAAACGGGUGCUAAUACUGGAUAUUCACUGAUUCUCGCAUGGGGGUUGGUGGAAAGGUUUUUUCUGGUGGGGGAUGGGUUCGCGGCCUAUCAGCUUGUUGGUGGGGUGAUGGCCUACCAAGGCUUUGACGGAUAGCCGGCCUGGGAGGGUGACCGGUGACAGUGGGAAUGGGAUACGGCCCAGAGUGCUGCGGGAGGCGGCAGUGGGGAAUAUUGGACAAUAGGCGAAAGCCUGAUGCAGCGGCGCGGCGUGAGGGAUGGAGGCCUUCGGGUUGGAAACCUCUUUCGCUCAUGGUCAAGCCGCAGCUUUGGGUUGUGGUGAGGGUAGUGGGUAAAGAAGCGCCGGCUAACUACGUG